GGUUAAGCGACUAAGCGUACACGGUGGAUGCCCUGGCAGUCAGAGGCGAUGAAGGGCGUGCUAAUCUGCGAUAAGCGCCGGUAAGGUGAUAUGAACCGUUAUAACCGGCGAUACCCGAAUGGGGAAACCCAGUGUGACUCGUCACACUAUCAUUAACUGAAUCCAUAGGUUAAUGAGGCGAACCGGGGGAACUGAAACAUCUAAGUACCCCGAGGAAAAGAAAUCAACCGAGAUUCCCCCAGUAGCGGCGAGCGAACGGGGAGGAGCCCAGAGCCUGAAUCAGCAUGUGUGUUAGUGGAAGCGUCUGGAAAGGCGCGCGAUACAGGGUGACAGCCCCGUACACAAAAGCGCAUGUGCUGUGAGCUCGAUGAGUAGGGCGGGACACGUGGUAUCCUGUCUGAAUAUGGGGGGACCAUCCUCCAAGGCUAAAUACUCCUGACUGACCGAUAGUGAACCAGUACCGUGAGGGAAAGGCGAAAAGAACCCCGGCGAGGGGAGUGAAAAAGAACCUGAAACCGUGUACGUACAAGCAGUGGGAGCCCCACCACCAAAGCAUUCUCUGGUGUUGAAGGCCCUGCAAAGCAGCAUCGCGGUGGCGGAGCGUCGUUUGCGACGCCCAACACACAAAACAAGCGGUGAAUGCUUUGGGGUGGGGUGACUGCGUACCUUUUGUAUAAUGGGUCAGCGACUUAUAUUCUGUAGCAAGGUUAACCGAAUAGGGGAGCCGGAGGGAAACCGAGUCUUAAUUGGGCGUUAAGUUGCAGGGUAUAGACCCGAAACCCGGUGAUCUAGCCAUGGGCAGGUUGAAGGUUGGGUAACACUAACUGGAGGACCGAACCGACUAAUGUUGAAAAAUUAGCGGAUGACCUGUGGCUGGGGGUGAAAGGCCAAUCAAACCGGGAGAUAGCUGGUUCUCCCCGAAAGCUAUUUAGGUAGCGCCUCGUGAAUUCAUCUCCGGGGGUAGAGCACUGUUUCGGCUAGGGGGCCAUCCCGGCUUACCAACCCGAUGCAAACUGCGAAUACCGGAGAAUGUUAUCACGGGAGACACACGGCGGGUGCUAACGUCCGUCGUGAAGAGGGAAACAACCCAGACCGCCAGCUAAGGUCCCAAAGUCAUGGUUAAGUGGGAAACGAUGUGGGAAGGCCCAGACAGCCAGGAUGUUGGCUUAGAAGCAGCCAUCAUUUAAAGAAAGCGUAAUAGCUCACUGGUCGAGUCGGCCUGCGCGGAAGAUGUAACGGGGCUAAACCAUGCACCGAAGCUGCGGCAGCGACGCUGAUGCGUUGUUGGGUAGGGGAGCGUUCUGUAAGCCUGCGAAGGUGACCUGUGAGGGUUGCUGGAGGUAUCAGAAGUGCGAAUGCUGACAUAAGUAACGAUAAAGCGGGUGAAAAGCCCGCUCGCCGGAAGACCAAGGGUUCCUGUCCAACGUUAAUCGGGGCAGGGUGAGUCGACCCCUAAGGCGAGGCCGAAAGGCGUAGUCGAUGGGAAACGGGUUAAUAUUCCCGUACUUGGUGUUACUGCGAAGGGGGGACGGAGAAGGCUAUGUUGGCCGGGCGACGGUUGUCCCGGUUUAAGCGUGUAGGUGUGUGUUCCAGGUAAAUCCGGUUCACUUUAACACUGAGGCGUGAUGACGAGGCACUACGGUGCUGAAGCAACAAAUGCCCUGCUUCCAGGAAAAGCCUCUAAGCAUCAGGUAACAUCAAAUCGUACCCCAAACCGACACAGGUGGUCAGGUAGAGAAUACCAAGGCGCUUGAGAGAACUCGGGUGAAGGAACUAGGCAAAAUGGUGCCGUAACUUCGGGAGAAGGCACGCUGACACGUAGGUGAAGUGAUUUACUCACGGAGCUGAAGUCAGUCGAAGAUACCAGCUGGCUGCAACUGUUUAUUAAAAACACAGCACUGUGCAAACACGAAAGUGGACGUAUACGGUGUGACGCCUGCCCGGUGCCGGAAGGUUAAUUGAUGGGGUCAGCGCAAGCGAAGCUCCUGAUCGAAGCCCCGGUAAACGGCGGCCGUAACUAUAACGGUCCUAAGGUAGCGAAAUUCCUUGUCGGGUAAGUUCCGACCUGCACGAAUGGCGUAAUGAUGGCCAGGCUGUCUCCACCCGAGACUCAGUGAAAUUGAACUCGCUGUGAAGAUGCAGUGUACCCGCGGCAAGACGGAAAGACCCCGUGAACCUUUACUAUAGCUUGACACUGAACAUUGAGCCUUGAUGUGUAGGAUAGGUGGGAGGCUUUGAAGUGUGGACGCCAGUCUGCAUGGAGCCGACCUUGAAAUACCACCCUUUAAUGUUUGAUGUUCUAACGUGGACCCGUAAUCCGGGUUGCGGACAGUGUCUGGUGGGUAGUUUGACUGGGGCGGUCUCCUCCUAAAGAGUAACGGAGGAGCACGAAGGUUGGCUAAUCCUGGUCGGACAUCAGGAGGUUAGUGCAAUGGCAUAAGCCAGCUUGACUGCGAGCGUGACGGCGCGAGCAGGUGCGAAAGCAGGUCAUAGUGAUCCGGUGGUUCUGAAUGGAAGGGCCAUCGCUCAACGGAUAAAAGGUACUCCGGGGAUAACAGGCUGAUACCGCCCAAGAGUUCAUAUCGACGGCGGUGUUUGGCACCUCGAUGUCGGCUCAUCACAUCCUGGGGCUGAAGUAGGUCCCAAGGGUAUGGCUGUUCGCCAUUUAAAGUGGUACGCGAGCUGGGUUUAGAACGUCGUGAGACAGUUCGGUCCCUAUCUGCCGUGGGCGCUGGAGAACUGAGGGGGGCUGCUCCUAGUACGAGAGGACCGGAGUGGACGCAUCACUGGUGUUCGGGUUGUCAUGCCAAUGGCACUGCCCGGUAGCUAAAUGCGGAAGAGAUAAGUGCUGAAAGCAUCUAAGCACGAAACUUGCCCCGAGAUGAGUUCUCCCUGAGACUUUAGGUCUCCUGAAGGAACGUUGAAGACGACGACGUUGAUAGGCCGGGUGUGUAAGCGCAGCGAUGCGUUGAGCUAACCGGUACUAAUGAACCGUGAGGCUUAACCUUAC
rnacentral:rRNA from 1 species